rnacentral:tRNA from 1 species
GGCUCGGUAGCUUAGUUGGUAAAGCACUCGUCUAGCAUACAAGAGUUUUGGGUUUGAACCCCACCUGAGCAC